CCUACGGGUGGCAGCAGUAGGGAAUAUUGCUCAAUGGGGGAAACCCUGAAGCAGCAACGCCGCGUGGAGGAUGAAGGUUUUCGGAGUGUAAACUCCUUUUGUUAGAGACGAUAAUGACGGUAUCUAACGAAUAAGCACCGGCUAACUCCGUGCCAGCAGCCGCGGUAAUACGGAGGGGGCGAGCGUUACUCGGAAUCACUGGGCGUAAAGGGCGCGUAGGCGGGAUAGCAAGUCAGAUGUGAAAUCCUAUGGCUUAACCAUAGGACUGCAUUUGAAACUGUUAUUCUUGAGUAUAGGAGAGGUAGGCGGAAUUCUUGGUGUAGGGGUAAAAUCCGUAGAGAUCAAGAGGAAUACUCAUUGCGAAGGCGACCUGCUAGAACAUAACUGACGCUGAUGCGCGAAAGCGUGGGGAGCAAACAGGAUUAGAUACCCUUGUAGUC
rnacentral:rRNA from 1 species